GAGCGCGGCCUCCUGGGGCUGAGACCGGCUGCCCGCGUGGCCCUCCAGGGCGCCUCCGCCCCGUAACUAUCAGAGCAGGUAGCCAGCACCCACCCGGCCUGCAUCCCAAAGAUGAUCAUCACCACCUAAGCGAGGGAGCCUGUAAGUGAAGACCAGGGGCCACAGAGGCAAUGAAAACUUAUUCUAAGUGUGACACUUUCAACUCCCCUUACUCUACAACAAGCUCCAUCUUUGACCAGCACUAAGAGGAGGAAAAUGAUACCUCAAUAAGACAAGAAGACAAAAGAACAGGUUCCCUGCCUUACUCUGGUGAUCUCGCGGUCUAAGCAUGCAUCCUCCUCUUGGCAUUAUGUGUGACAGU
rnacentral:lncRNA from 1 species